GAUGAAGAACGUAGCGAAAUGCGAUAAGUAAUGUGAAUUGCAGAAUUCAGUGAAUAAUCGAAUCUUUGAACGCACAUUGCGCCCCCUGGUAUUCCGGGGGGCAUGCCUGUUCGAGCGUCAUUACAACCCUCAAGCUCUGCUUGGUAUUGGGCCCCGCCAGUUCUGGCGGGCCCUAAAGUCAGUGGCGGUGCCUUCCGGCUCCGAGCGUAGUAAUUCUUCUCGCUCUGGAGACCCGGUUGUGUGCUUGCCAACAACCCCCAAUUUUUUAAGGUUGACCUCGGAUCAGGUAGGGAUACCCGCUGAACUUAAGCAUAUCAAUAAGCGGAGGA
rnacentral:misc_RNA from 1 species